rnacentral:rRNA from 1 species
GACGAACGCUGGCGGCGUGCCUAAUACAUGCAAGUAGAACGCUGACGAGAGGAGCUUGCUCUUCUUGGAUGAGUUGCGAACGGGUGAGUAACGCGUAGGUAACCUGCCUUGUAGCGGGGGAUAACUAUUGGAAACGAUAGCUAAUACCGCAUAACAAUGGAUGACACAUGUCAUUUAUUUGAAAGGGGCAAUUGUUCCACUACAAGAUGGACCUGCGUUGUAUUAGUUAGUAGGUGAGGUAAUGGCUAACCUAGGCGACGAUACAUAGCCGACCUGAGAGGGUGAGCGGCCACGCUGGGACGGAGACACGGCCCAGACUCCUACGAGAGGCAGCAGGAGGGAAUCUUCGGCAAUGGGGGCAACCCUGACCGAGCAACGCCGCGUGAGUGAAGAAGGUUGUCGGAUCGUAAAGCUCUGUUGUAAGUCAAGAACGGGUGUGAGAGUGGAAAGUGCACACUGUGACGGUAGCUGACCAGAAAGGGACGGCUAACUACGUG